GCCCAAUGGUUAAAUAUUUUUAUGAAAUUAAAUASAAAAAACUAAAUGGCUGCAGUAACUAUGACUGUAUGAAUGUAGCAUAAUCAUUCGCCACUUAAUUAGUGGAUAGUAUGAAUGGUUAAACGAAAAUUUCUCUGUCUUAUAUAAUAAACAAAAAAUUUAAAUUAUAGUUAAGAUGCUAUAUAAAAUUGUAAGACGAAAAGACCCUAUAAAGCUUAACUAUAKUCUUUUACAAUUUAUUUAAAAAAAUAAGAAAAAAAGAUUGGUAGUUUCAUUGGGGCGAUGAUCUCUAAAAAAAAACAGAGAUAAACUAUAUUUAUAAUAAAAAAAUUUACUGUUUAAUUUAUAAAUUUAACAGUUACAAAGUAGGUUAUAAUGACCCAUUAUUCACCUAAAAAAGAAAUAAUGAUCAAAAAAUAAAAGCUACUUUAGGGAUAACAGGAUAAUUUUUUCCAAGAGAUCUUAUCGAAGAAAAAGUUUAUCACCUCGAUGUUGAAUUAAGAUACCCCA
rnacentral:rRNA from 1 species